rnacentral:rRNA from 1 species
AUUGAACGCUGGCGGCAUGCUUUACACAUGCAAGUCGAACGGCAGCGCGGGCUUCGGCCUGGCGGCGAGUGGCGAACGGGUGAGUAAUGCAUCGGAACGUGCCCAGUAGUGGGGGAUAGCCCGGCGAAAGCCGGAUUAAUACCGCAUACGACCUGAGGGUGAAAGCGGGGGACCGAAAGGCCUCGCGCUAUUGGAGCGGCCGAUGUCGGAUUAGCUAGUUGGUGGGGUAAAGGCUUACCAAGGCGACGAUCCGUAGCUGGUCUGAGAGGACGACCAGCCACACUGGGACUGAGACACGGCCCAGACUCCUACGGGAGGCAGCAGUGGGGAAUUUUGGACAAUGGGGGCAACCCUGAUCCAGCCAUGCCGCGUGCGGGAAGAAGGCCUUCGGGUUGUAAACCGCUUUUGUGCGGGAAGAAAUCCUCUGGGCUAAUACCCCGGGGGGAUGACGGUACCGGAGGAAUAAGCACCGGCUAACUACGU